rnacentral:rRNA from 1 species
UACGUGGGGUGCUAGCGUUGUUCGGAAUUACUGGGCGUAAAGCGCGUGUAGGCGGCUCGAUGUGUCAUGUGUGAAAUCCCUUGGCUUAACCAAGGAACUGCGCCUGAAACUAUCGAGCUUGAGUUUGGGAGAGGAGGGUGGAAUUUCCAGUGUAGAGGUGAAAUUCGUAGAUAUUGGGAGGAACACCGGUGGCGAAGGCGACUCUCUGGACCAAAACUGACGCUAAGACGCGAAAGCAUGGGUAGCAAACAGG